GAUGAAGAACGUAGCGAAAUGCGAUAAGUAGUGUGAAUUGCAGAAUUCAGUGAAUCAUCGAAUCUUUGAACGCACAUUGCGCCCCUUGGUAUUCCAUGGGGCAUGCCUGUUCGAGCGUCAUCUACACCCUCAAGCUCCGCUUGGUGUUGGGCGUCUGUCCCGCCUUUGCGCGUGGACUCGCCCCAAAUUCAUUGGCAGCGGUCCUUGCCUCCUCUCGCGCAGCACAUUUGCGCUUCUCGAGGUGCGCGGGCCGCGUCCACGAAGCAACUAUUACCGUCUUUGACCUCGGAUCAGGUAGGGAUACCCGCUGAACUUAAGCAUAUCAAUAAGCGGAGGA
rnacentral:misc_RNA from 1 species